GAUGAACGCUAGCUACAGGCUUAACACAUGCAAGUCGAGGGGCAGCAUUAAAGUUUGCUUGCAAACUUUAGAUGGCGACCGGCGCACGGGUGAGUAACACGUAUCCAACCUGCCGAUAACUCGGGGAUAGCCUUUCGAAAGAAAGAUUAAUACCCGAUGGUAUAUUUUCACCGCAUGGUGAAACUAUUAAAGAAUUUAGGUUAUCGAUGGGGAUGCGUUCCAUUAGGCAGAUGGUGAGGUAACGGCUCACCAAACCUUCGAUGGAUAGGGGUUCUGAGAGGAAGGUCCCCCACAUUGGAACUGAGACACGGUCCAAACUCCUACGGGAGGCAGCAGUGAGGAAUAUUGGUCAAUGGGCGCGAGCCUGAACCAGCCAAGUAGCGUGAAGGAUGACGGCCCUAUGGGUUGUAAACUUCUUUUAUAUGGGAAUAAAGUUUGGUAUGUAUACCAUUUUGUAUGUACCAUAUGAAUAAGGAUCGGCUAACUCCGUGCCAGCAGCCGCGGUAAAAC
rnacentral:rRNA from 1 species